AUUAUACUCCCUCCGUCCGGAAAUACUUGUCAUCAAAAUGAAUAAAAGGGGAUGUAUCUAGAUGUAUUUUAGUUCUAGAUAUAUCUUUUUUGUCCAUUUUGAUGACAAGUAUUUCCGGACGGAGGGAGUAACAU
rnacentral:pre_miRNA from 1 species